GACGAACGCUGGCGGCGUGCUUAACACAUGCAAGUCGAACGGAAAGGCCCUGCUUUUGUGGGGUGCUCGAGUGGCGAACGGGUGAGUAACACGUGAGUAACCUGCCCUUGACUUUGGGAUAACUUCAGGAAACUGGGGCUAAUACCGGAUAGGAGCUCCUGCUGCAUGGUGGGGGUUGGAAAGUUUCGGCGGUUGGGGAUGGACUCGCGGCUUAUCGGCUGGUUGGUGGAGUAGGGGCUUACCAAGGUUUUGACGGGUAGCCGGCCUGACCGGAUGACCGGGCACCAGGGUUCUGGGAUACGGCCCAGUCUCCGACCGCAGGCAGAAGUGGGGAAUAUUUCACAUUGCGCCGAAGCGAGAGGUAGCAACGCUGCGUGCGGGAGAACGUCCUUCGGGUUGUAAACCGCUUUGGCCUGUGACGUAGCGAGAGUGACGUUAAUGAGUAAAAAAGCACCGGCUAACUACGUG
rnacentral:rRNA from 1 species